rnacentral:rRNA from 1 species
AUGAAGGAUUUAGGAGUGGCUGAUGUCAUUCUGAACAUCAAGUUGUUGAGAGACGAUGAUGAUGGGAUUACAUUGCAUCAAUCUCACUAUGUGGAAAAGAUCUUGAGUCACUUUGGCUAUAGUGACUGCAAGCCCUCUCCAACACCAUAUGAUGCGAGUGUGUUACUUCGAAAGAAUCGAAGAAUUGCUAGAGAUCAGUUGAAAUAUUCUCAUAUUAUUGGCUCGCUUAUGUACUUAGCCAGUGCUACAAGACCUGACAUCUCUUUUGCUGUUAGCAAACUGAGUCGGUUUGUCUCAAAACCAGGAGAUGUGCAUUGGAAAGCUCUAGAGAGAGUUUUGCGUUAUUUGAAGGCACUGCAAACUAUGGAAUUCACUACACCGGGCACCCAAAGGUGCUUGAAGGGUAUAGUGACUCAAACUGGAUCUCAGAUGCUGAUGAGAUAA